rnacentral:rRNA from 1 species
GUCAUCAUGGCCCUUACGACCAGGGCUACACACGUGCUACAAUGGCAUAUACAAAGAGAAGCGACCUCGCGAGAGCAAGCGGACCUCAUAAAGUAUGUCGUAGUCCGGAUUGGAGUCUGCAACUCGACUCCAUGAAGUCGGAAUCGCUAGUAAUCGUAGAUCAGAAUGCUACGGUGAAUACGUUCCCGGGCCUUGUACACACCGCCCGUCACACCAUGGGAGUGGGUUGCAAAAGAAGUAGGUAGCUUAACCUUCGGGAGGGCGCUUACCACUUUGUGAUUCAUGACUGGGGUGAAGUCGUAACAAGGUAACCGUAGGGGAACCUGCGGUUGGAUCACCUCCUUACCUUAAAGAA